rnacentral:lncRNA from 1 species
AGCCGCCCACUUCAUCUCCACCUCGCGUCGCUCUCUUCUCCUCGCGUGCGCCCGAAGCACCGUCGCCACUAGCUGCUGCAUCGCCGUGGCCACCGACCUCCCCGUCGGCCAAGACUUCGCCAGGAGCUCCGCCCGCUUCCUCUACUUCGUCUACGUGGGCCAGAUCGAGCCCAUCCUCGAUGCAUCGCCGGACCGCGUCGAUCCCCUCCGUCAGCGUUCGCCUCGGCCACGGCUUCGAUCCACCGUCGUUCGAACCUCCCGGAACCACCUGCUCUCGCCGUUGCCACCACUGUGAGACCCAGCUCCUCCUCCCUUUCCCUCUAUCGAUCUGGUCCUCUAGAGCAACCUCGUCAUUUGUCCGCGUACCACCGUAGGCCGCCGUCACCGCCGUGCCCGACGCCGUCGGAGCUCGUGCUACUGCGCCACAGUCCGCGCUCGUGCGCCUCUGGACGCGUUAGGCCUUGCUGGCUCGCGCUCGCCGCUCCCUGGCCGCGCCCAGGCGCGCCGCCAUAGUCGUCCGCGUCCCUGCCGCUGCUCUGCUGCUGCUUGUACUGCUGCUCCUCGCGCGUGGACGUUCGCCCGGGCGGCACCCCUGUCCCGCUAGCUGCCGUGAUGGUUGCUGCUGCUUACUACUGAAUAUUGAUGAGGCUGCUAUGCUGCUGCUUCUCGCAUGCCGCUGACGCUUGCCGGCUGCUGAUCUACUAGCUGACACCACUGCUGUUUUGAUGUUGCUGAUAUGCCGCUGCUACUCUUUUGCUGUUGCUUCUCAUUUUGCUACUGCUGCUCUUCUUGCUGCCACUGUUGGUUGCUCCAGCGCUAGCCUCGCAUGUGGCUGUGGCCAUGGCUGAACACACAUGGGUUGUGCGUGUAUGUGCACAUCCGUGGUGCUGCUUGCGCCUUUGGCCGACCCUAUGCAAAUUACUUCAGGGGAUAAUUACUAGUUAGAUUAGCUACUAGCCUAUGGCAGGUGGACCCCCCCUCCUCUAAAUAUCCUCUGAAAAAAAUGCUAAAAUAUGUGUGGAUGACACCUGGGUCCCACUGGUCCCAUUGACCAGUCAAACUGCUGACUGGGAUAACCCAGUUAAUGACAUGCGGGUCCCCCGGGCCCUUUGACUAGUCAACAGUCCCCUAGGCAGUCAACUGGACCCCACCUGUCAGCCUCUUACACACUGUUGGGUACACUUCCUUGUGUACCCGUAGCAUUUUAGGUAUUUUACUUUUUGAUUUAUUAAUAAAUCCAGAAAUUCCAGAAAUUGUCUAAAUCUUUGAAAAAUCUUAUAAAAUAAUCCGUAGCUCGGAUGAAAAUGUUUUCUACAUGAGAGUUGCUUAGAAAAAUCCAACGAAUCCGAAUACGCUAUCCGUUCAUCUGUCAUAUGCCCCUAGUAUGCUGAACAUGGAACUUCCCCCCUACGGUCAUCUGUCUGACACAGGUCCGGAACCGGGAACACCUUCCCAGUUGAAUUCCCCCUUCACCUAUAACGUCUAGGACCGUGUUAGAACACGUCUAGCCAUGCCUUUUAUCCUGUUAUGCACUUGCUUGCUAUGUAUUUACUGUUUCUCCCCCUCUUCUCUUCUGUAGACCCCAUGGCGGCUGUCGAUGCCGCUGUGAUCGACUACGUCACCGACGACCCCUCGUUGUUGUCUGAGCAACCAGGCAAGCCCCCUUUUGAUCAUCCCGAUAUCGCCCAUUCCAUUCUCUCAUGCUUGCAUUAGAUUUUGCUAUUGUUAUUGUUUGAUCCUAUUCUGAUGCAUAGCCUGCUUUUGUAACCUGCUCAUUGUUACCUACCUGCUUAUCCUAAACUGCUUAGUAUAGGUUGGUUAGUGAUCCAUCAGUGACCCCCACCUUGUCCUUGUUGCCCCUGCUUCAUCAUCGAAGACCCGUUCAACGGGAUCGAAGACCAGAGCCCGACACCUCACAUCACAUCACACCCCUUUUGUUGCUCGACUCUGCAUGGUUACCAUCGAGUGCCGAGGGUGGACCCUCAUACAUCACUCCUGAUGAGAUCUCUGUAGUGUAGCUAUUCGUUCGUGGUCAUCGAGGGUGUUUUCCUCCUUAACCACUUUCGAUACGGCUCUAUCGUGCAACCCCUCAAGUGUGAACCUCGGGGGUGGUUCCUCUUACGUUCACCUUGAUGAUUACAUCGAGUGGAAUUCACCGGGGGUGAUUCCUCGGGUUUUCCCCUUGAUGUUUGGACACACAGUUACUAUGGUUACUAUGUCUUUACACUGAACCAUGUUACUAAAGACGGGUCGACCCUGAGGGGUACCCGCGCGAGCUUAAUUGCGAGUGAUGUGGAGACGGGUUGACCUGGAGGGUGCCCGCGAGAUAAUUACGAGGCGUGGCCGGACAUUCCUAGCCCUUGCCGCAAGUCCUCGAGACGGGGCAACGGGGUCACAUCUUUCGUGAGUCUCUGCUUGUUACCGCGCAUUCCUAAUCCACUACAAUUUGGAUAUUUGAUCCGAGGGGCCUCUGGCCUGAUAGCACUAACAUCACGUGGGCAUAGUAUGGGCGUUCUGCUUCGUAUACAUCAGCCGAAGCUUAAUAGACGUCAGCGACUGAGCGGCGCACGCCGGGUUGAACUGGUAAGCUCCUGCCUUUUUAGGGAGGUAGCUAGGUCUGCUCACCGGCCGCCCAUGCAACGUGCAGGAGUUCCCGGGGAGAUGGCCCAUGACCCCUGGGGGCAUAGGUUUAGUCCGGCGUGCUGGCCUCUCUAUUAAGCCUAGGUCGGGUUGCGGCGUAUUGUUUGGCCGAGGACGGGCAUGACCCAGGAAAGUGUGUCCGGCCGGAGUUAGUCGAGCGUGGUGGGUAAGUUGGUGCACCCCUACAGGGAAGAAAACAUCUAUAGAUAGCCUUUCCUACGGUAACGGACACUUGGAGUUGUAUCCCGAUCAAUACAACUAGAACUGGAUGGUGAUGAGAAUUGGAUUGUGAUGAUAACUGGAUAGUAUGGCUCUGGGAUUUCUUUCUCGCAGGGAGUCGAGAAAGGAUCUCCGGCCGAGGUUGAUAACACUACUACUACUUUACUUUAUGCUACUCUACUCCCUCCUGUUGCUGCGAGAUGGUGGUUUCCAGAAGAUGCUAGUCUUUGAUAGGACUAGGCCUUCUCUCUUUUCUGGCAUUUCUGCAGCCCAGUCCACAUAUACAGCCUUCCUUUGAUAAUGUUGCAUAUGUAGUGUAGAUCCUUGCUUGCGAGUACUUUGGAUGAGUACUCACGGUUGCUUUUCUCCCCCUUUUCCCUCUUUCUUCUUCUUUUCGGUUGAUGCAACUAGAUGUCUGAGCCCAGGAGCCAGAUGCCACCGCCGAUGCCUACUACUACGUGGAGACCGAAGAUGACCAGGAGUAGUUAGGAGGCUCCCAGGCAAGAGGCCUUGCCUUUUCGUUCGUAGAUGCUUUUGUGCUAGCCUUCUUAAGGCAAACUUGUCUAACUCAUGUCUGUACUCAGAUAUUGUUGCUUCCGCUGACUCUUGUGUUUUUGAGCUUAUGUAUUCGAGCCCUCGAGGCCCCUGGCUUGUAAUAUAAAGCUUGUAUUAUUUUAAUUUGUGUCUAGAGUUGUGUUGUGAUAUCUUCCCGUGAGUCCUUGAUCUUGAUCGUACACAUUUGCGUGCAUGAUUAGUGUACGAUUGAAUCGAGGGCGUCACAAGUUGGUAUCAGAGCCGACUGCCUGUAGGUAGCCCCCUUUCUGACUCCUUGGCCGAAGUUGAGUCUAGUCACUGAAAAACUUUUACUAACAUUGGUUGUGUGGCUUGCGGGCCCACGUCGCCAUUGGGUGGUAUUAGGAUCUUUUAUUCCUCGUCUAUACUCUGGGACUCUGAUCUCUUGUCUAUUCGGGUUAAACAUUUUACUAAGUCAGACAUUAGGAUCUCGUACCCACUUUCUCCCGGAGAGCCCCUUCAGUCCAGAUGAUCGCUUGCUGCUUUAGAAGAUUUCAAAGAUACUCUCUGAUGUUUCCCCGAAACCCUUGUGCCCUUUGCCGUUGCAAUUCCAUACCACCGAUAAAUCCUUAUGAGUAACUACCUACGUUUUCGUUCAUACCUUCAUCCCUAGUUGCUCUUGUUAUUACAAGAUGCCUUGAAUUACUCUCUGUUGUCCUGAGAAUCCAUUGAGCCUACUGCCUUGCAGUUCUUUGCCACAUGAAUACCCCUGCGGAUAAUUACUCGCGCUUGCCGAGUAUCUGUUCGUCCAUAGUUGUUCACUGUUUCACAAAAUUCUUUGGAAUAUUAUCCGAUCUUCCGAAAAUCCUUAGAAACCUACUACUCUUGAUCCUCCUUGUAUGCUUGCAUUGUGGAUACUUUCCAUAUGUCUGGCAAUAUUCAGUAGUAUUCUUUGUCAUAUUUCAUUUUGAGCAUUUGAUUCGAUAUGUUUGUGAAUGCUUUCAAUCAUCAAUCAAAGUUAGAAUUCUUCCCUUCGGCUCAGACGUCACCCCUGACAUGAGCUGGUGUUCAACAAAUCAAACCUUGAUUGAUUGUCGAUCUAUGUCUAUUCAACUAACCUGUCAUUGAUCAGGGCCUCUGCUUCUGAUCCACCGUUUUGGAAAUCAUAUUUCCUUCGCAUUUGAGCUUUGAAUUAGUCAGUUGUUUCUAUAAUCUGAUAUCCUUGCAUUCUUUCUUCUUCUGGGUGAGUAUCGAUGCUCACAUCAGAUCCCUUGUGGACCACCAGAUCCUUUGUUGGGUUUUAUCCGACAGCGUCCUUCUUAUUUAGUAACAUUGUGAGCUUUUCCUCGGAUACAUAAUGCCUUUGGUAAAUUGUAUCCUCUGCUUCCUCAAUCAUGCUCUACUUUUGAGCUUGAGUUAUUUACUCGUGAAGUUUGUGGUCUAUGUUCAUAAGAUGCCCCAGUGGGUUGAAUCUACGCCUUGCCUAAUCCGUGUGAACCGGAAGGUUAUGCGGGUUAUAUCUACUAGCGUUUCUUCGGAUAACAUUUCAACGCUACAACUUCUUCGAAUGCGAGAAGUGAAUGGAAGGUUGUGCAUUGAUGAAGUGGGAGUCGACCUUGAACCUUUGUGUUCACGCCCAUGGACCCGAUGUGGAACUUAUCAUGGAAGCUUCUUGUUAUGAUAAUAAUGAUCCCCUUGUGAUAAGUUCAUCUUGUAUCUAUAUUGGUCCUUUGCAACCGUGGUUCUCACCAUGAUUGUUCUUCUUUGGUCCCAUUUCUUGGACAAGUUGAAGUACCUGUCUUCUGCAGAUCAUUGCACCUAUCCAACCUUUACUUUGAUCUACCAUCGAGUGCUACACUCUGGUAUCUCAAGAAUAUCACUGAACUGCAUAACUUCUUAUGGGUUCUUCAUCAACUGUUAUUUCUCACCGAUUUCAAUUUUCCUGGGUUCUGAGUUGUCGUCAACCGAGAACACUGAUAAGUGAAUCACUUCUGCACUCCGAUUCAAUAACUCUAAAUAAUCUUCAUUGCUUAUGAGUUUAUUAAUCCUUCAAGUCAUUCCUAGCCUGAUCGGCUAUAUCAUUAUCGUGCAACUUUUUAACUGUGCUACCUGGUCCUUCUUCCCGAAGCACAACUUUUUGACGAUGAGUGAAGCUUACGUCGAUCUUCCUCAUCUUAUCAUUCCACCUUGAACAACAAGCUUGAAUCCGAGCUUAUGUCGUAUCCGUGGUUCCAAUAGCCUUCGCUUCAUCAUUCCUUUUGCUUGAUGUCGUUGCUGCUCAAUGGCAUCUUCUUAGAGCCUCUCGACAAAAUUUGUCGUGAAUCACCAUCAAUAUACUGCCUUAUUCUAAGAUAUCAAUUGAAUUCUUGAGGAGAAAUACCAUCCUUGCCCGUCGAUGAUUUGUGUUGUCAUCGACACCAUCCUUGACUUCCUACCAAUACAGACUUGGUCAUGUUUUGGUUAUAUCUUACAUUCCUUGACAUUCUUGGAAUUGUUCCUUUGUACUUCUUGUGACCUUCAGAUUCAAUCUUGCUUGAAACACCAUGUUACUGUUACCUCGAAGCAUGACUGUGUUACUCCAAACAUCAACAAAAACAUUGGGAGUGCAAUGCUAACUGUUCUUGAUCAAUUAUCCAAACACCGUUGUAUAGGUAAACCUCAUAAGUUCCUUGCCCCUUUAUCUAAACGGUUUAAUACUUGGAGUCCAAUCAUGCUCUGCCUUUCCUUGGGAAAGUUAUACUCUAAUACUUGGGUAUAAACAUCUUUCCUUUCCAUUGGUCUGAUUAUCAUAAUAAUCACAUUUUCCUUUCCAUUGUUUUGUUUUACCUUUCUUGUAAUCUAACUUGUCUGAGCAGAGAUAAAUCCCUGCUUAGGUAAGCACCUCGAUGUACAACUCUAUCAGUAAGACCCUGUUACUAUUGUUGAUGACAUUCCGGUAACCACCGAUGGACGAGAACUUUGCCUAUUGGUCCGCCUCGUCCUAACGAGCAGGAAAAUGGUUCUCUUUGUCCCUCGCCCUUGGUACCGACGUCGUUGCCAACAUAACUGACAUGUUGUCAUCUGGCAUGCCUUGCUAUCAUCUGUGCAAGAUGUCAGCGCCUUUCCUACCUUGAACCCACAUGGUGGGCCCAUAACCCACAGUUCCACAGGAUCGAAACCUGACUCUCCUCUACAUCCUUGUUUCUAAGGUUAUUUCUCACGCUUGGCUUCAUAUGAAAAUCCCGAGCCGCCUUCCGAGAGGCGAUCUAUUAUGGUAUCAGACGCGAUACUUAUUACCAUUACUCUGAACCCCUUUCACCCCUUGUUUCAAGCAACAAACGAUUGUCUACCAGGUUGAAGCUUCUUAUUGCACCUCACCUUGCUCUCGAUGACUUUCUUGAAUUUCAACUCGAGAGAUGCCUCUAUGCCAUGUUCACUCACGUAGUCCCCACGUACCUAUCUUAUGUUGAGCUCCGUCCUUCCUGAGUCAUUCCCCCUUACUCCACCCCUUAAAUCUCGGGACGAGAUUUCUUGUAGUGGAGGAGAAUUGUGACGCCCGGAUAAUUAAGCUACAGUUAUCCCAUGUUAAUGGUGCCGAGUCAUCGCAAUUACUGUUGCUAAUCUUACUUUGGUUCAAACACGAAUCAAAUUGAACUUCCAAAACAAGUCAAAUUCUUAUUCCUUUAAACGGCAACACAAAAAUGUUCGCUGGGUUACAAAGUUUCACUAAUUAAUUUUCCUGAAGGAACCAACAUUAUUUGAAAUAUUAAAUUACCCCUAACCUAUUUACAGUGUCCAAAACACCCUUUUUAAUCCAUUUCCUUUUAUGCAAAAAUCAAAUGAAUUCUAAUAUUCCUCGAACCUUUUUAUAACAGUGCUAAAUAUUACAUGUAAUUUAUUGAGCCAAGUCUCAUAUUUUACAAAGUGAAUGGGUGGCCUAGCAAUUUACAAAUCAGAGAAGAAAUCAAAGAAGCAGAAAGAAAAUUAAGAAAAGAGCUAAACUACCGGUGGACUGGGCUCUAGGUCAACCGUGGGAGCCCAGUCCACCUCGCCACCUCCUCCUUCCUACUGCUCAUCAGGAGCGCUGUGGAGGCGUGCGCCCCGUCCAUGGCCGCGGAUGAUCACGCGGCAUCCAUCCCGUGGCUCCCUGAUGCAGAUAAGGUCGCCCUCGUCCCCCUGUGAACCCUAUCCACCCACUUCAUCUCCACCUCGCGUCGCUCUCUUCUCCUCGCGUGCGCCAGAAGCACCGUCGCCACUAGCUGCUGCAUCGCCGUGGCCACCGACCUCCCCGUCGGCCAAGACUUCGCCAGGAGCUCCGCCCGCUUCCUCUGCUUCGUCUACAAGGGCCAGAUCGAGCCCAUCCUCGAUGCAUCGCCGGACCGCGCCGAUCCCCUCCGUCAGCGUUCGCCUCGGCCACGGCUUCGAUCCACCGUCGUUCGAACCUCCCGGAACCACCUGCUCUCGCCGUUGCCA